CUCAAAACCUAGCCAUAAUCUUUUCUACCUCUUUUCCUGUUCCAGUCAAUCCUUGUUUUCAGGACCAAAUCUUUAUUUCCUGAGUGCUUGAGGAAAGUCUGUCAGCGUGAUGAAGUAUCAGCAUCACUCAGCAGGACCUGUUGAGGAGCCAGUGUUUGGGCUUGGCCCAUCACAGUGCUGGUUUAUCCUUUUUAAAUCUAAUUUUGAGACUACACAAAUUUCCAUCAUUUCACUUGGAAAAAUUUCUGAUAGUUGGGCAAAACUUUCUUAGAAAAAAAUGAAGAAACUCUGAGAACAAACAGAAAUAUUGGAUGCUGUACAUCUGUCCUGGUCAUCAUGGAAAUCUGGACUGAACUACACCCUUAUUUCCAAGUGUGGAUAUUGCAGAGCCAGACACUGAUUUUCAAACAGGGUUCAGCACCUUUUUUACCAAUACUGGGUUGGAGACCCCUUGAGAUAAACAUGAGAGGAAUAUUCACAGAGAGAAGUGUUUUUUGAUGCACACAUUACUGUUUUCCCCAGCUGUAACCAAGGUAUACAUUUUCCUCUCCAGAAAUUCAUCAACAGCAAGGAUCAACAAGAAGGUAAGGUAAAAGUUCAACUUUUUGAAGUCAGAGUAAUAAUAUUCUUUCCUCAACGCAAA
rnacentral:lncRNA from 1 species